rnacentral:sRNA from 2 species
AUAUCUCUCUGUACGGGAAGGAUGAGAAGCUUCGACUAAGGUUCGAUUCGAGCGAAAGCGAGAAAGCGUUGCCGCAGGCAACGAC